rnacentral:tRNA from 1 species
UCCCUGGUGGUCCUGUGGCUAAGACUCCUCAUUCCCAAUGCAGGGGGCCCAGGUUCAAUACCUGGUCUGGGAG